GCCAGCAUGGUGUAGUGGUUGGACUUAGGCUACGACUCUGGAGACCAGGGUUCAAAUCCCCAUUCAGCCA